CUUUCGAUCAAGAUGUAGGCUUCCCAACUCCAGCACCAAGUCUGCCUUCAUGCUACCUUGCUUCCCACCAUGAGAUAAUGGACUAAACCUCUAAACUGUCUCCUCUUCCACAAGUGCCUGGAAGACAUGACCACUGUGAUCUUUUCCAGAACUAUUAUUAAAGGUGUGUUCCUAGAUGUCCACUGUCUGCUGAGAACCAUCACACUGAGCUUCAGGAACAAGAAUGCUCAACUGCCAAGAACUCAACAGACCUGCUACGAUAGGACCCAGCCAGGACAAGCUCAGCAGAGGCCUGAGUCUCAGCAGUUUAUACCCUAAGGCAAUAUCGGGUUCCAAGAAAGGUCACAGUCUGAGACCACCCAGGUACCACCCAGGAACAUAUCAUCCAAAGGAAAUUCCUAACAUUCCAACCAUCUUAGACAGGAUCACCUGCCAGCACACGCCCAUCGCUUUUCACCAGGAUGUCCAUAGACAAAUGUCAGCCAAUCAGGGGUCCUGAAUCUUAGAAAUCCCUCACCUCAACCUUUGCUAUUAUAAAAACCCAACCCCAACUGAGAGCCCAGGGCUCUCCAAUCACGCCAAUGUGUUGGGCACUUGGAGAGUCUGAGUUUGAACUUGAAUAAGAAUAAAGGCUCUUUGCUUUUACAUACAGAACUCAGUCUCCUAGUUGGCUUUUGGGGGACUCCAUGAUCUGGGCAUAAUAGUCACCAAUCCCCAUUCUAGUCAGUCUGGCUUAGGAAGCCCAACAGUUCUGGACAUGACAACUUUUCUUUCUCCUUGCAUACUCCUUGCCUUCUCAAACACACUCUUUCUAACACAGAUGUUAAGAAAAUUAAAACCUCAGAUAAACGUCUUGUGCUAGUCGGUUUUCCGUAGAGAAUCAGCUGGGAGGAGCAAGCUUUGCUUGGCCUCUGUUUUCAGAGGUUUCAGGGCAUAGUCAAUUAACCUGACUACACUUUGACUCUGGACAGGUGGUAAAUUACAUCACAGUAGGGAGUGAAGCUGCUCAUCUCAUUCAUGGUGGCCAGGAAGCAAAGACAAAAAGACAAAAAGAAUGGGCUCAAAAUAUACCUUUUAAUGGCACACUCCUAAUAACCAAUACACCACAACUAGGCUCCACCCCCCUAAAGUUUCUACUGCCUCCAACGUGUCCAUUAAAUUACAGAGCAAUAAGAGAGUUAAUCCAAGUAAGAGGUCAGAACCCUCACAUUACAAUCACCUAACCAAAACUCCUGUGACUCCCAGAAGAUCAGUAGAAAAAAAAAGAAAAGUAGACAACUUUCAUAGAGUCGAUUCGAGGCCUCCUGGCAGUCUGGAGGCAAAGGGGUAAGGAAGACAGCCACAAAGCCAAGCAGAGGAUGGGCUAAA